UACGGAGGGUGCAAGCGUUAUCCGGAUUCACUGGGCUUAAAGGGUGCGUAGGCGGGCAGGUAAGUCAGUGGUGAAAUCUCCGGGCUUAACCCGGAAACUGCCGUUGAUACUAUCUGUCUUGAAUAUUGUGGAGGUAAGCGGAAUAUGUCAUGUAGCGGUGAAAUGCUUAGAUAUGACAUAGAACACCAAUUGCGAAGGCAGCUUACUACACAGUUAUUGACGCUGAGGCACGAAAGCGUGGGGAGCAAACAGG
rnacentral:rRNA from 1 species